rnacentral:misc_RNA from 1 species
GAUGAAGAACGUAGCGAAAUGAGAUAAGUAAUGUGAAUUGCAGAAUUCAGUGAAUCAUCGAAUCUUUGAACGCAUCUUGCGCUCCUUGGUAUUCUGAGGAGCAUGCCUGUUUGAGUGUCAUUAAAUUCUCAACUACACUGACUUUGAAUUGGUGUGGCUUGGAUUUGGGGGGAAAAUUGUUGUGGGCUUUUUGUAUAGUCUGCUCCCCUGAAAUUGAUUAGCGGUACCUUUGUGGAACUGUCUACAGGUGUGAUAAUUAUCUACAUCUUAGACAUCUGCUGGAAUGCUGCUUUCUAAACCUUACUUGUAUUGACAAUCUUGACCUCAAAUCAGGAAGGACUACCCGCUGAACUUAAGCAUAUCAAUAAGCGGAGGA